rnacentral:lncRNA from 1 species
UUGUACCAAGUCAGGAAGAUGGCCAUUGUUAUAUUAUUGUUCAUUUCUGUGUGUGUUGCAUUUUAACGUUGAGUCGUUUGUGUUUUCUCUUAUUUUUGAGAUAUUGAGAUCAGACGUGGCACGGUACUUGUCUAUCCCAAAUUCAUGUAUUUGGUUUUCUUGUUAUAUUUGUUAUUCUCGUGGUGUUUUGUCUGAUGCUUGGUCCGUUUCUGUGUGUGUUACGUUUCGGUGUUAUGUCGUUGUUCUCCUCUUAUAUUUAAUGCGUUUCCCUCGGUUUUAGUUUGUUACCCCGAUUUUGUUUUUUGUCCCUGGAUUUAUGAGUUUUGAACAGCGGUAUACUACUGUUGCCUUUAUUUAAUUAUAA